rnacentral:snRNA from 1 species
AGCUUUGCGUAGUGGCAGUAUCAUAGUCAAUGAGGUUUAUCGGAGGUGUGAUUAUUGCUAAUUGAAAACUACAAG